CGCGGUUAAGUGAAAUAUCUAAUGUAAGUUCUUCUCUUGCAUUUAUCAAGGAUAUGAAGUCUCUAAGUACCUUAGUACUUAGGAACAACAAUAUCACUGGUACAAUUCCAUCGAAUAACGGAGAGCUCCAACAGUUACAAAAACUGUAAGUUAAUUAAGAAACUCACUGGUACAUUUGGUUAACUCUUUCUGUCUAAAAAAAGCUGUCAUUUUUUUUGGCAGUAACUUGGUUGGCAACAACUUUACAAUGAAUGGCUCAAACAACAGGAAAGCCUUAACGUACAUGGUGGGGCUGUAUCAUUGGGACACCCAUUAGGAUGCAGUGGAGCUCGUAUCUUGGUCACAUUGUUAGGGGAAGGCAAUGUUGCCAACCAGAGGGAACAUCUAAUUCUUCUCCUUGCCAAUAUUCACAUUCAGAAAGCUAAACAAGCAGUC